rnacentral:rRNA from 1 species
UAGAUGCGAGAGUAGAGCAUAUCAAUAAGCGGAGGAAAAGAAACUAACAAGGAUUCCCUUAGUAACGGCGAGUGAAGCGGGAAGAGCUCAAAUUUGAAAUCUUCAAGGUUCUACCUUGACGAAUUGUAGUUUAUAGAAGUGUUUUCUGUUAGUGGAGUGGCAAAAGUUCUUUGGAAUAGGACAUCAUAGAGGGUGAGAAUCCCGUAUUUGGUCAUUCCUCCUAGCGUUGUGAUACACUUUCAACGAGUCGGAUUGUUUGGGAAUGCAGUCCAAAAUGGGUGGUAAAUUUCAUCUAAAGCUAAAUAUUGGCGAGAGACCGAUAGCGAACAAGUACCGUGAGGGAAAGAUGAAAAGAACUUUGAAAAGAGAGUUAAACAGUACGUGAAAUUGUCAAAAGGGAAGCGUUUGACACCAGUGUUGUUUUCUCGAAAAUCAAUUAAAAAUGAUGGGAUUUUGUGUUGUAUUGACUUUAUCAGCUUUCUGCACUUUUUUCUUAUCUUUUUUAAUGCACUUUUCGUUUAACAAGUCAGCAUCAAUUUCUUUUGUUGUAAAAGAGUCAUUGGAAGGUGGCUUUUUCUUCGGAAAAAGUGUUUAUAGCCUUUGGCUUCUGCAAUCGGAGAGAUUGAGGUCUGCAGCGUAGAUCCUUCGGGGUUAGAUACAUUUGUGCUAAGCUAUAGUUCUUUAUAGACGACUUGUUGACUAUAAUCAAUCCUGUAACUUACUCGCUUAUGCUAUUUUACCUACGCUUAGGAUGUUGACGCGCGUGUGUGCGUG